rnacentral:rRNA from 1 species
ACAGUCACACAUUAGAUACCCGGGUAGUCCCAGCCGUAAACUAUGCGCGUUAGGUGUAUCGGUGACCACGAGUCACCGAGGUGCCGAAGGGAAACCGUGAAACGUGCCGCCUGGGAAGUACGGUCGCAAGGCUGAAACUUAAAGGAAUUGGCGGGGAGCACCACAACGGGUGGAGCCUGCGGUUUAAUUGGACUCAACGCCGGGAAGCUCACCGGAUAAGACAGCGGAAUGAUUGCCGGGCUGAAGACUCUGCAUGACUAGCUG